GACGAACGCUGGCGGCGCGCUUAACACAUGCAAGUCGAGCGAGAACCAGCCCUUCGGGGCUGGGGACAGCGGCGAACGGGUGAGUAACACGUGGGUAAUCUGCCCUCGGUUCUGGGAUAGCCCGGGGAAACCCGGAUUAAUACCGGAUAGCCUCUUGAGCUCUCGAGCUCUCGAAGAAAAGGUAGCUUCGGCCUCCGACUGAGGAUGAGCCCGCGGCGGAUUAGCUUGUUGGCGGGGUAAUGGCCCACCAAGGCGACGAUCCGUAGCUGGUCUGAGAGGACGAUCAGCCACACUGGGACUGAGACACGGCCCAGACUCCUACGGGAGGCAGCAGUGGGGAAUCUUGCGCAAUGGGCGAAAGCCUGACGCAGCAACGCCGCGUGGAGGAUGAAGGCCCUUGGGUUGUAAACUCCUGUCGGCUGGGAAGAAAUCUUCCGGGUUAAUACCUCCGGAAGUUGACUGUACCAGCAAAGGAAGCCCGGCUAACUCUGUGCCAGCAGCC
rnacentral:rRNA from 1 species